rnacentral:rRNA from 1 species
CGCGUAGGAAUCUACCUAGUAGUGGGGACAACUUGGUGAAACCAAGCUAAUACCGCAUACGCCCUACGGGGAAAAGCGGGGGAGUCUUCGGACCUCGUGCUAUUAGAUGAGCCUGCGUAAGAUUAGCUAGUUGGUGGGGUAAAGGCCUACCAAGGCGACGAUCUUUAGCUGGUCUGAGAGGAUGAUCAGCCACACUGGGACUGAGACACGGACCAGACUCCUACGGGAGGCAGCAGUGAGGAAUAUUGGACAAUGGAGGCAACUCUGAUCCAGCCAUGCCGCGUGCAGGAAGACUGCCCU